CAGGAAAUUAAAGCUUUGCCUGUAGCAAAUGACAGCAAAGAUGAUGAGCAAUGGCUGCUGCAGCUAGUUUAUCUGAAGGCUAGUGAGAGUCGGCAUGUGAUCCUGGCUUUGGAGCACAGUGGGGAGAUCAAAAUCAUUCAGGGUAAUGAAGGUGAACCUCAUCUGACUGUUACAUGGGAGCUCCCUGAGGCUGUGUCACUUAUUCUGCAAGAGAAUCCAGUUAUGUCUCUAUGGCUGAAACCCAAUGCCAGGAAAACAAAUGGAUUUUUUCCAGAUGUUCAGCUGUUGUCUGACACAGGUCCUAAGAGAAAUAACGAAACCCAGAAUUUACCACUGGGUGAAGAAAUUAAGUGCUUUGAUGUGUUAAAAGUAGAAGGAUACAGUUUGAUAGCUACUGGAAAUGCACAUGGUGCAAUAACCUUGUGGGAUUUUGAAUCUGCCACUGUCAGAUACUUGGAUAAAACUUAUCAGGGUGGUCAAAAUGCUAUCGCUCAAGUAUCUGGAGUCAAUGCUGUGCUAUUCCUUUUCCGGAGUGCUUUCUUUUCCAGGUAACUGAAUUGCAUGCACUGCAUUAUGAAUUUUGCUCUGUU
rnacentral:lncRNA from 1 species